AUGCUCAAGCUUGACCUCACGCGCGCAUUCGACUCCACAUCCUGGCCAUUCCUCUUUGAGGUCCUGCGCCAAUAUGGGUUCGGUCAUCGCUUCCUCGAGUGGAUUGCCAUCCUCAUGUCCUCGGCGAGCACCCGGGUCCUGUUGAAUGGCGUGCCAGGACCUCCGAUUUGGCACAGAGAAGGGCUGCGGCAGGGCGACUCCUUGUCCCCGCAGCUAUUCGUGCUCGCGGUUGACACCCUUGGCCGGUUGUUUCGACGCGCCCAUGACUCGGGCAUCCUCUUGCCGCUGCACCCGCGGAGGCCUAUUCCGGAUAUAUCAUUAUACCCCGAUGAUGUCAUGCUAUUCUGCCAUGCCACGGAGAGU
rnacentral:rRNA from 1 species